rnacentral:rRNA from 1 species
AAUCCGCUAUAAGAUGGACCCGCGGCGCAUUAGCUAGUUGGUGAGGUAAUGGCUCACCAAGGCGACGAUGCGUAGCCGACCUGAGAGGGUGAUCGGCCACAUUGGAACUGAGAUACGGUCCAGACUCCUACGGGAGGCAGCAGUGGGGAAUAUUGCACAAUGGGGGAAACCCUGAUGCAGCAACGCCGCGUGAGUGAUGAAGGCCUUCGGGUUGUAAAGCUCUGUCUUUGGGGACGAUAAUGACGGUACCCAAGGAGGAAGCCACGGCUAACUACGUGCCAGCAGCCGCGGUAAUACGUAGGUGGCAAGCGUUGUCCGGAUUUACUGGGCGUAAAGGGAGCGUAGGUGGAUAUUUAAGUGGGAUGUGAAAUACCUGAGCUUAACUUGGGUGCUGCAUUCCAAACUGGAUAUCUAGAGUGCAGGAGAGGAAAGUGGAAUUCCUAGUGUAGCGGUGAAAUGCGUAGAGAUUAGGAAGAACCCCAGUGGCGAAGGCGACUUUCUGGACUGUAACUGACACUGAGGCUCGAAAGCGUGGGGAGCAAACAGGAUUAGAUACCCUGGUAGUCCACGCCGUAAACGAUGGAUACUAGGUGUGGGGGUUUCAACACCUCCGUGCCGCCGUUAACACAAUAAGUAUCCCGCCUGGGGAGUACGGUCGCAAGAUUAAAACUCAAAGGAAUUGACGGGGGCCCGCACAAGCAGCGGAGCAUGUGGUUUAAUUCGAAGCAACGCGAAGAACCUUACCUAGACUUGACAUCUCCUGAAUUACCCUUAACCGGGGAAGUCGGCACCUUUGGUGCCGACAGGAAGACAGGUGGUGCAUGGUUGUCGUCAGCUCGUGUCGUGAGAUGUUGGGUUAAGUCCCGCAACGAGCGCAACCCUUAUUGUUAGUUGCUACCAUUUAGUUGAGCACUCUAGCGAGACUGCCCGGGUUAACCGGGAGGAAGGUGGGGAUGACGUCAAAUCAUCAUGCCCCUUAUGUCUAGGGCUACACACGUGCUACAAUGGCAAGUACAAAGAGACGCAAGACCGUGAGGUGGAGCAAAUCUCAAAAACUUGUCCCAGUUCGGAUUGUAGGCUGAAACUCGCCUACAUGAAGCCGGAGUUGCUAGUAAUCGCGAAUCAGCAUGUCGCGGUGAAUACGUUCCCGGGCCUUGUACACACCGCCCGUCACACCAUGAGAGUUGGCAAUACCCGAAGUCUGUG